rnacentral:misc_RNA from 1 species
AGGAAAGGUUUUGAUUUUCUCUGUUGAUGAAUGUAUUGCAUGCACUUAAGGCUGCUUCUUGUGAUUCAUACUGUCAAUAUGUACAUAACUAUACACAGAACUUGUGCUGGGUUCAAUCAGCAAAAUCACCAUGUCUUCCACUAAACUAUCGCAAAUUAAAAUAGGAAUUUUCUUUCAGGAAAAUAAAUAUUUUAAAGUUUUCAAUCAGUCAUUUUAUAAAAUUUAAUUGUAUUGUACUAGAAAACUUGAAAAAUAAAUAUGUUGAAUC